rnacentral:rRNA from 1 species
UCCUACGGGAGGCAGCAGUGGGGAAUAUUGCGCAAUGGGGGAAACCCUGACGCAGCGACGCCGCGUGGAGGAAGAAGGCCUUCGGGUUGUAAACUCCUUGGCAGGGAAGAAGAAGACGGUACCUAGAGAG